AGUGAACGCUGGCGGUAGGCCUAACACAUGCAAGUCGAACGGCAGCACAGGAGAGCUUGCUCUCUGGGUGGCGAGUGGCGGACGGGUGAGGAAUACAUCGGAAUCUACUUUUUCGUGGGGGAUAACGUAGGGAAACUUACGCUAAUACCGCAUACGACCUACGGGUGAAAGCAGGGGAUCUUCGGACCUUGCGCGAGUGAAUGAGCCGAUGUCGGAUUAGCUAGUUGGCGGGGUAAAGGCCCACCAAGGCGACGAUCCGUAGCUGGUCUGGGAGGAAGAUCAGCCACACUGGAACUGAGACACGGUCCAGACUCCUACGGGAGGCAGCAGUGGGGAAUAUUGGACAAUGGGCGCAAGCCUGAUCCAGCCAUACCGCGUGGGUGAAGAAGGCCUUCGGGUUGUAAAGCCCUUUUGUUGGGAAAGAAAUCCAGCUGGUUAAUACCCGGUUGGAUGACGGUACCCAAAGAAUAAGCACCGGCUAACUUCGUGCCAGCCGCCGCGGUAA
rnacentral:rRNA from 1 species